GACGAACGCUGGCGGCGUGCUUAACACAUGCAAGUCGAACGGAAAGGCCCUGCUUUUGUGGGGUGCUCGAGUGGCGAACGGGUGAGUAACACGUGAGUAACCUGCCCUUGACUUUGGGAUAACUUCAGGAAACUGGGGCUAAUACCGGAUAGGAGCUCCUGCAGCAUGGUGGGGGUUGGAAAGUUUCGGCGGUUGGGGAUGGACUCGCGGCUUAUCAGCUUGUUGGUGGGGUAGUGGCUUACCAAGGCUUUGACGGGUAGGCGGCCUGAGAGGGUGACCGGCGACAUUGGGACUGAGAGACGGCCCAGACGCCUACGUGAGGCAGCAGUGGGGAAUAUUGCACAAUGGGCCGAAGCCUGAUGCAGCAGCGCCGCGUGCGGGAUGACGGUCUUCGGGGUGUAAACCGCUUUCGCCUGUGACGAAGCGGGAGUGACGGUAAUGGGUAAAGAAGCACCGGCUAACUACGUG
rnacentral:rRNA from 1 species